UGGGGAAUAUUGCACAAUGGGGGAAACCCUGAUGCAGCGACGCCGCGUGAGCGAAGAAGGUUUACGAAUCGUAAAGCUCUGUCCUAUGAGAAGAUAAUGACGGUAUCAUAGGAGGAAGCCCCGGCUAAAUACGUGCCAGCAGCCGCGGUAAUACGUAUGGGGCGAGCGUUGUCCGGAAUUAUUGGGCGUAAAGGGUACGUAGGCGGUCUAUUAAGUCAGGUGUGAAAGCGUGAGGCUUAACCUCAUUAAGCACUUGAAACUGAUAGACUUGAGUGAAGGAGAGGAAAGUGGAAUUCCUAGUGUAGCGGUGAAAUGCGUAGAUAUUAGGAGGAAUACCGGUGGCGAAGGCGACUUUCUGGACUUUUACUGACGCUCAGGUACGAAAGCGUGGGGAGCAAACAGG
rnacentral:rRNA from 1 species